rnacentral:rRNA from 1 species
UCCAAGCACAGGGGGAAUUUGGACNCGNGCGCAAGCCUGAUCCAGCCAUGCCGCGUGUGUGAAGAAGGCCCUCGGGUUGUAAAGCACUUUAAGCGAGGAGGAAGGUCAUCAUACUAAUAUUAUGAUGAAUUGACGUUACUCGCAGAAUAAGCACCGGCUAACUCUGUGCCAGCAGCCGCGGUAAUACAGAGGGUGCAAGCGUUAAUCGGAAUUACUGGGCGUAAAGCGCGCGUAGGCGGUUUGUUAAGUCGGAUGUGAAAUCCCUGGGCUCAACCUAGGCACUGCAUCCGAUACUGGCUAACUAGAGUGUGGGAGAGGAAGGUAGAAUUCCAGGUGUAGCGGUGGAAAUGCGUAGAGAUCUGGAGGAAUACCGAUGGCGAAGGCAGCCUUCUGGCCUAACACUGGACGCUGAGGUGCGAAAGCAUGGGGGAGCAAACAGGGAUUAGAUACCCUGGUAGUCCAUGCUGUAAACGAUGUCAACUAGCCGUUGGGGUCUUUAAGACUUUAGUGGCGUANCUAACGCGAUAAGUUGACCGCCUGGGGAGUACGGUCGCAAGACUAAAACUCAAAUGAAUUGACGGGGGC